UACGUAGGGUGCAAGCGUUAAUCGGAAUUACUGGGCGUAAAGCGUGCGCAGGCGGUUAUGUAAGACAGGUGUGAAAUCCCCGGGCUUAACCUGGGAACUGCAUUUGUGACUGCAUAGCUAGAGUACGGUAGAGGGGGAUGGAAUUCCGCGUGUAGCAGUGAAAUGCGUAGAUAUGACGGAGGAACACCGAUGGCGAAGGCAAUCCCCUGGACCUGUACUGACGCUCAUGCACGAAAGCGUGGGGAGCAACAGGA
rnacentral:rRNA from 1 species